rnacentral:rRNA from 1 species
UGCCAGCAGCCGCGGUAACACGGGGGGCGCAAGCGUUAUUCGGAAUUAUUGGGCGUAAAGAGCACGUAGGUGGACGUGUAAGUUGGUUGUGAAAUUCCAGGGCUUAACCUUGGGUGGUCAAUCAAGACUGCAAAUCUAGAGUAUGGUAGAGGGGUGUGGAAUUUCCUGUGUAGCGGUGAAAUGCGUAGAUAUAGGAAGGAACACCAGUGGCGAAGGCGACACCCUGGACCAAUACUGACACUGAGGUGCGAAAGCGUGGGGAGCAAACAGGAUUAGAUA